rnacentral:lncRNA from 1 species
AGGCUUCAAGGAAACAGCAUUAUUCUUGUGGUUUUCCCCAAGCUACAACCCUAUUAUUCAUAUCCAUUUAGUGUGUGUGUGUGGAGGGAGACUUGGAGUGGAUGCAAGAGAGGAAAACACCCAUCUGGAUAAAGUAGGUUGAGGAGUGGAGUCCCUUGGAAAGUCGGCAAACUUCUUCCAAGGAUCCUAAGUCCUAGGCUUUGCCAUUCAUGCCCUAAAGCUCAUUUACCUACCCUGAAUCUAGGUUUCUCUCAUCUUUAAAAUGGGAAUGAUAGAACAGUAACUUGAUUUCAUUACUUCAAGGUUCUAGUUAAGAAACCAAUAAAAGAGGGGCUGAGGAAAUGGCUCAGCAGUUAAGAGUACUGGCUGUUCUUCCAGAGGACCUGGGUUCAAUUCUCAGCACCCAUAUGGCAGCUCACAACUGUCUAUAAUUCCAGCUCCAGGAUAUCCAACAUCCUCACACAGACACACAUGCAGGAAAAACACAAAUUCACACAAAAUAUAAGUUAGUCCUUAAAAAAGAAAUGAAUGAAACAAUAUCCUAUAAGCCAAUUAAGUGUAAAUAUUUUUUUACAAAGUAUUAUUCAUAAUCCAGACUUCUGUUUCCCAGCAAGAUGACUUGGUCCCAUUUACAUAUAUAGUAGAAAAUGCAAGGAACUUUCUCUCUCUCUCUCUCUCUCUCUCUCUCUCUCUCUCUCUCUCUCUCUCUCUCUCUCUCUCUCACUUUCUUCUUUCUGUGAACAUCAUAGAUAUUUUCUCGACCACUGUGCAAAAGCAAUGGCAGCAUAUCCUCUCCCUUCCCACAGUGGCUCCCGAGGAGCGUUGCCCUCUCUGUUCGGCGUUGUGUUGUGAUGCUUCUUCUGUAAUGUUCUUUCUCCCACAUUGUUGGAAGCAACUUGGGAUCUCCUGUAAUUACCAGUACUGAUGGUGCAUUGCUUGGUGGCCAGGGAAUUGGGCAAAUCACAUUUCCAGCUUUCUCUGCAAUUCACUGUUUCCCACAUACAAUCAGUACUUUGCAAGCUUCUGAGUACCCAGGUCCCAGGUCCACCCGAAGCUACUGAGCCUGAAUCAUCAACAUUUUACAGAGAUGUGUGAGGCAUGAUGAACUGAGUGAUCCUCCAGAAUGCCCUGAGCACAAGUACACUGUGAGCAUUCUAUGUCCCCUGUAUGGAUGACAUUGGACAGGGCUACCUGAGAUGACGAUUAGUUGUGCUGAGCCCUUCUGAUCGCCAUUUCUCAAUUACUGUCAACAAGGGGCCACACAUUAAGUGAAUGCUUCAGAAAAGUGGUUGUCUCUCAUUUGUCUAAGGGAAGUUUUUAUGUGGGCAUAAUAUGAUAUUAUUCAUAGUUUAACACAGC